rnacentral:rRNA from 1 species
CCUACUGGAGGCAUCAUUGGGGCAUCUUGGGCAAUGGGCGCAAGCCUGACCCAGCAAUGCCGCGUGACGUCCUCCUUCUUUCCUUUUCUCCCCUUCCUUUUCCCGUUCCUCCCCGAAGACGGUACCCUGAAAACAAGCCACGGCUAACUGCGUGCCAGCAGCCGCGGUCAGACGUAGGUGGCAAGCGUUGUCCGGAUGUACUGGGUGUAAAGGGCGUGGUGCCGGGAAGGCAAGUCAGAUGUGAAAGCUGGAGGCUCAACCUCCAACUUGCAUUUGAAACUGGUUUUCUUGAGUACGGGAGAGGCAUACGGAAUUCCGUGUGUAGCGGUGAAAUGCGUAGAUAGAGGGAGGAACACCAGUGGCGAGGGCGGUCUGCUGGACAGCAACUGACGGUGAGGCGCGAAAGCGUGGGGAGCAAACAGGAUUAGAUACCCGAGUAGUC